rnacentral:misc_RNA from 1 species
ACAGAGUUGUUGGGUGAGGUCUUCAAUAAUAAUGAUGACUAUUCUGGUGAACAGUCUACGAGUCAAAAGAACUCGGCUGUUGGACUUGAAACUAAUUUUUCUAGUCAUAAGCCACUGGUUAACUUCCAUGUUAAGAAUAAUGGUACAUACAGUGAAGCUGACAUUGAUAAUGCUCAAGUCCAGAUGCAAGCAUCACUUGGAUCUUGGGGAGCUCAAUCAUCAUCCUUCCAUGGACAACUUGGAACUAGAAAUGUUUUGGGCGUUGCAAAUUCUGAUGUGCAAGAUGCUUCAUCUGCCAUUUCUGCAGUGGGCUCAUCUUUGGAUGUAUUCAAUAGUAUGGAUGAAUCAAGCAGGCAAAUGAAUCCUAUGAACCAGGGCAGUGCUGUCAGUGGAACUGGAAUCAAGAUUAGAACCCGCCGGCCUCAAGUGCAUCCAUAUGCAGAUAACUUUGUCACUCAAGGCAGCGCUCCAAGAAGGCUCCGUUUGCAGAGGGAAUUUUCUACUGUUUCUCCUGGAAGUAGAGCGGAGAGGGAUGCAAGUCAUCAAGAAGAAGAAGAAGAUGAAGUGCAGUCAGCUGUAACAAAGGCAAGAGAUGCAGAACACAAUCCUGAUUCAGAUAAGUUGCUGAUGAAAAGCCAACUGCACAUUUCUGACAAGAGCAUAGAAAUUGCUGAAGAAUCUUCUACAAAUUUGAGGUUAAGGGUGAAACAGGGUCGUAAAUGUGGCAGUGGCGAGAUAGGAGGGUCAGCAUUUCCUGAUGCAGCUCCUGUGAACCAUGGCCACAGCUCACCAUCAGUUUAUGUAGUUGGAGUUGUGCUAGCUUUUGUCUUGUUCAUAGUUCUUGUUGGAAUUUGGAGAUGCGAGUAAUGGAAUAGAGGAAACUUACUUGAUAAGAAGAAAGUGGUUUUACAGACUGCAUUUAGAUACUUGCGCAUAUGUAGCUUGGAGGUAGUAUAAAUGUGUGCAAUAUUGGAUGAAGGUCAUCUGCAACGUGUAGUCUUUGUUGGUUCAUCUUGUACAAAAUAUGCAAUUGACGUCGUCUGAUGGUUGGGUUUCAUGGAUUCCUGGAGCUAGGAAAAGUGUAAUUUGGCUUCUCUCCAAUCUCCAUAUUUUAAUCUCACUUGGCAUUAAAUUUAUGGGCUAAUGCUCAUAGUAUCAAAUUGUGGGAUAGCGCGGAAGUGCUGAAGUUCACGGCUAGUAUCAAAUUGGCUAUCCAUUCAUCGAGGGUACUAUAGUGUUUUCUUAUUUGUCUAUCCUGAUAUGAUAUGCUUGGG